UGCUACUUUUAGCAGCAAUAUACUAAGACUGGAACAACAUAGAGAUUAGCACAGUCUCUGGCCAAGGAUGAAAUAUAAAUUCGUGAAGCAUUGACUAUUAAAUAUUUUU